CGUGCCAGCAGCCGCGGUAAUACGGAGGGUGCAAGCGUUAUCCGGAUUUAUUGGGUUUAAAGGGUGCGUAGGCGGUUUAGUAAGUCAGCGGUGAAAUUUUCCGGCUUAACCGGGAACUUGCCGUUGAUACUGCUAAGCUUGAAUAUGAAUGAAGUUGGAGGAAUGUGCAGUGUAGCGGUGAAAUGCAUAGAUAUUGCACAGAAGGUCGAUUGCGAAGGCAUCUGACUAAUUCAUUAUUGACGCUGAGGCACGAAAGCGUGGGGAUCAAACAGGAUUAGAUACCCUGGUAGUCCACGCCGUAAACGAUGAUAACUCGCUGUUGGGCGUAAGCUCAGUGGUCAAGCGAAAGCGAUAAGUUAUCCACCUGGGGAGUACGGUCGCAAGACUGAAACUCAAAGGAAUUGACGGGGGCCCGCACAAGCGGAGGAACAUGUGGUUUAAUUCGAUGAUACGCGAGGAACCUUACCCGGGCUCGAACGGCUAAUGAAUAUGGGGGAAACUUCAUAGCUAGCAAUAGCAUUAGUCGAGGUGCUGCAUGGUUGUCGUCAGCUCGUGCCGUGAGGUGUCGGCUUAAGUGCCAUAACGAGCGCAACCCUUGUUGUUAGUUGCCAGCGGGUCAUGCCGGGGACUCUAACGAGACUGCCAGCGUAAGCUGUGAGGAAGGGGGGGAUGACGUCAAAUCAGCACGGCCCUUACGUCCGGGGCGACACACGUGUUACAAUGGGAGGUACAGAGGGUAGCUACUUGGUGACAAGAUGCCAAUCUUCAAAACCUCUCUCAGUUCGGAUUGGAGUCUGCAACUCGACUCCAUGAAGUUGGAUUCGCUAGUAAUCGCGCAUCAGCCACGGCGCGGUGAAUACGUUCCCGGGCCUUGUACACACCGCCCGUCAAGCCAUGGAAGUUGGGGGUACCUGAAGUACGUGACCGCAAGGAGCGUCCUAGGGUAAAACCGAUAACUGGGGCUAAGUCGUAACAAGGUA
rnacentral:rRNA from 1 species